AGGUUCACGUCUGAUGUGCUUUGCUUAGCUUAGAGAGGAUGCAUCUGAUGAGGGUGGCUAAAGGGCAGAAAUCUCUUCUGUUCUGAGCUGAUGUCAUCUGGAAAUGCUCUCUUUCCUUGUUCUGGAAGACAGGGCCUGUUUCCAGACAAGAACACAUUUCUGAACACUCCUACAGGACUUCUGUGGUCAGUGGCCCUGGCCUGCCAAGAUGAAGGGGACUCUGGUUUCCAGAAUUUUAAGAUCAGCUUGUGCCAAUGACAGACCAGGUACUGAAACCCCUGGUGGAGAAGUUAACUCAUGAUGACUAGACUGUACCCAUGACACCAGCUGCCACAGUUCCAAGAAUUGGUUUCAGAGGUAUGGAAACAAACCGAACUUGGAACUGAAGAUUAACUGUACCUAAAACAACCAAGAUGACACUGGUCAGACCACCAAUGAUCAAUCUGAAGAUGGCUGUCAGAGCUGACUGUGCUGCUUCUGCAUGUAGCCCCCUCGUUCUGUCUAUAAAAGCUCUGGCCCUACUUGCUGUCAAUGUCAGGAGUUGGCCUUUGGACAGAUGUCCACCCUCUCCCCCAGUUGCCUGCAUCUGAAAUAGAGCAAACUUCCCUUUCCACCAACCUGGCCUGUUUGCUUGCUUUUGGAUGGCGAGCAGCUGGACCUCAUACCAUUCAGUAACAGGACCAACUUUAGCGCAGCCGCUGCUUUAGGCUAUGGAAUAGCAGAUGAAGAGAGCAUAGAGUUUGGAGAACAAAGACCAGGCUUGGAUUCCAAAUGCACUUUGGAAUCCUGACUCAAGUAUUGCUAAAUUACUUUUGGAUCCUCGGUUGUUCAGUCACUAAGUCAUGUCCAUUGAGUCGGUGAUGCCAUCCGACCAUCUCAACCUCAGUCAUCC